UACGUAGGGGGCAAGCGUUGUUCGGAAUUACUGGGCGUAAAGGGCGCGUAGGCGGCCUGGCAAGUCAGGUGUGAAAGGCCUGGGCUCAACCGAGGAACUGCUUUUGAUACUGCCAAGCUAGAGUGCGGAAGGGGCAACUGGAAUUCCCAGUGUAGCGGUGAAAUGCGUAGAUAUUGGGAAGAACACCGGAGGCGAAGGCGGGUUGCUGGGCCGACACUGACGCUGAGGCGCGAAAGCCAGGGGAGCAAACGGG
rnacentral:rRNA from 1 species